rnacentral:rRNA from 1 species
UUGACAUACUAAGAACUUUCCAGAGAUGGAUUGGUGCCUUCGGGAACUUAGAUACAGGUGCUGCAUGGCUGUCGUCAGCUCGUGUCGUGAGAUGUUGGGUUAAGUCCCGNAACGAGCGCAACCCUUUUCCUAUUUGCCAGCGGGUCAUGCCGGGAACUUUAAGGAUACUGCCAGUGACAAACUGGAGGAAGGCGGGGACGACGUCAAGUCAUCAUGGCCCUUACGGCCAGGGCUACACACGUGCUACAAUGGUCGGUACAAAGGGUUGCUACCUCGCGAGAGGAUGCUAAUCUCAAAAAGCCGAUCGUAGUCCGGAUCGCAGUCUGCAACUCGACUGCGUGAAGUCGGAAUCGCUAGUAAUCGCGGAUCAGAAUGCCGCGGUGAAUACGUUCCCGGGCCUUGUACACACCGCCCGUCACACCAUGGGAGUUUGUUGCACCAGAAGUAGGUAGUCUAACCGCAAGGAGGACGCUUACCACGGUGUGGCCGAUGACUGGGGUGAAGUCGUAACAAGGUAGGCGUAGAUGA